GGGGUUGUGGCUCAGUGGUAGAGCACUUGCCUGGCAUGCAUGAGGCCCUGGGUUCAAUCCUCAGUACCACA
rnacentral:tRNA from 1 species